GUUGGCUGCUGCACAUGCACAGACUGCUUUGGGCAGUCUUUUCAGAGCUUUGAGACUAGUAUAAAAAUAGACUGAGCCUGGAAGUCUGGAUUAUCAUCAUUGCUAUGGACACUUCCAAGCUGUCAUUUUAUCUGCCCUGAAUAUUUUCCUUAUUUUCGUGGUUGUGCUCAAAAGCUGGCUCAAAUUCCCAGUGCAACUGUAGUGAACGUAGAAAGUUGGUCUCAUAUUCAUUCUAAUACACACUUCACUAAAAUCCUUCACCAUCCUAGCCCUUGCUGUCAUCAGUACUUGAUUUUGAGUGCUUCCAUUAUGUUUGUAUCUGCUGUAAUUUUACUUUUUUUAUAGUAUCAGCUUUCAUUAGUUAUGAUGUAUUUGGAAAUCUGUAAUAAUAAUAGUUCUGUCAAGAUAUCUUUUGAAAUAAUUUUUUAAACUGCCUGUAGAUUGUUUUGGGGUAUGUCUCAUGUACUUUUCGUGUUUAGACAAUGGAUGCUACUUUAUCAAACCUUGUGAAAGGAUAUUGGGAUGGACGAUCUCUAGAAGUCUGAUGUACAUUAUUUUAUAAUUUUAUUUUUCCAGUGAUACAAACUGGGAAUAAGUGGCUAGGAAACAGCACUGCUAAGUACAACCUGGAUGUCCUGACUGAACGUAAGCCAUCAGUGUGCCCUGGCAGUAAAUAAUGCCAAAAGUCUUCUGGGCUGUAUUAACAGUGUACCAGGGAGAAUAAGGAAUUCAACAUUCAAUAAGCAACUUCUGUGUCUAGCUUUGGGUGCCUCAGAUGCAAGGAAGACAAUGAUAAACUAGAAGUACUGCAGUGGAGAGCAGGGAGUUGUAGCAUUUGUCCCUGGUGCAAGACUGAGAGAAAUAGACUUGUUUGGCUUAGAGAAGAUAUCUCAUAGCAGCCUAUCAACACCUAGGAGGAAAUUAUCAAAAGAGAUGAAUCCAGGCUCCUUUGGUGUAUUGGUAGGAAGAUAAGAUGCAGUAGGCAAAAAUUUAAACUAGAGGUUUGGAUGGAUGUAAGAAGAAAGUUUUUCCCCAUAGGGGCAAACAAGCAAUGAAGUAGGUUGUCAGAGUAGUUGUAAGUUUAUUGUCUGAGAUUUUUCAGAAGCCAGCAGGAUAAAACCCUGACGUGGCCUCCUAGUGGACCUUGGAUGGAAUGAGCUUCUAAGGUCCCUUCCAACCUGAAUUAUUCUGAUUCCAUGAUUCUGUAUUUUAAAAUGAGGAAAAAAAAUCAACUGUUUAGUUGUGUACACUAAACAAUAUUGCAUUAGCCUAAAAGUUAAAUUGAUGUUUUGCAUGUUAUUUUUCUUUUUUAGAGUCUUAGUCUCUUAACUUCAUCUCUUUCAUCUACUUUCUGUCAGGGAUUUUUUUUCAGUGCAGAAUAGCUUCAGGCUUCAACUUCUCUUCCUCCGCUAUUCCCAAACCUUACAGACAGUCUGAAAUGCAAAUAUAUUUUUGUUCUCUACCUACCAACAUGACUGCCUAUUAAAUUAUUCUGCUAAUCCCACAAAAGAUCUCCUCAGGAUUUUUUCUAAGCUCCACUGUGUUCUGGAAAAAUAACCAGAUUUUACUUCUUUUGGGUCUUUGUUCAGAGCAGAAGAGGCCAAACGUAAUUGCAAGCAAAAAAGAAACAGCAGCCCUGCCAAUAUUAGAUCCUGCUCUUAAUUAUGCACUUCAUAUUCACUGUGACUUCCUCUGAAGCUUUCUUCUUACAGAAUUGCUGCAUUGAUUUUUUUAAAUUUUUUUUAAUUUUUUUUUUUUCAGCUCAGAAGUACCACAUUAUGGCAUUCAACAGGAUAGGUUGAAAAUUAAAUACUUUUACAUUUCUUUGAUGUAUGACUAUAGUGUAUGUAGCACAAUUCAUUGCAUUCAAGUUACAAUACGGCUAUUGUCAUAAAAGGGCAAGAAGGCAUAGAGAUAUUUUGUAUGUGUAGGGCAACCACUGUGAUUUUGUCUGGAUUUCUGGAACUUAAUGUUAGCAUUGUAUUUUCUAAGGUCAUGAGUGUAUGGCACAUCCUGGACUCUUUUGCCUCUUGUUCUUAACAUGCAGGAAAGUGUGUGCUACAUGGAGGAGGGAGCAGAAGGAACAGGAUCUUCAACCGAGAGAGACGUUUUGUCAGACAAUAAUAUGUUUUGAGGGGAUCUCAUCCUCUUCAUCUAAGAAACUGAGCACUCUGUAUAAAAUCUACUUCAAAGCUUGUGCUUCUUCAUGGUCACCGUCUUUCUUUAAAGAAUCAGGAGAAGAGAGUGGAAAAACUGGGUAGUAUUCAGCAACAGAGAAGACAGAGCUAGAAAGCUGCCUACUGUCUCUAUUUUGGGGCUCCCCAGUGACAAGGAAGAUACUAGCUUACUGGACCAAGUCAAUGGAUGAUUUCUGCUAUGAUUAGGAAUCUGAAGCCCAAGACAUACAAGGAGAAGUUGAGACGUCUAACUUUGUUCAGAGUGCCUUUUGAUUGCAUCCUGGAAAAUGAAAAGUGGAAAAGAAAAAAAUUCAGCAGAGCAAGGACAAUGACAAAAUGUAGUAACAACUGGAGCACCACCAAAAAUCUAUUCCUGAGUCUGUAUUAUCAAUUCAAGGAUAAUACUUAUCCGUGUGCUUGACCUCACCACCCCCUGCAGUAUCUGCAAGAACACCUGUAACGUUUAUAGUUUGCAGUCUUCAUUGCAGCAUCCUUUCAUGCUGUUUUCCCUGGAGUGAAAUUAAAUUUUACAUUAUUCAAUAGCACUGUCUCUGUAUUGUGUCAGAAUAGACUUUACUAGU